rnacentral:tRNA from 1 species
CGGGGUAUAGCGCAGUUUGGUAGCGCGCCUGCCUUGGGAGCAGGAGGCCGCAGGUUCGAAUCCUGCUACCCCGACCA